CUCCCGCCGGCGACCGGCGCACGGGUGAGUAACACGUAUGAAACCUGCCCGUAGCAGGGGGAUAAGCGGAAGAAAUUCCGUCUAAUACCGCGUAACAACCCGAGGAGGCAUCUCCUCGGGUUUAAAGGAAGCGAUUCCGGCUACGGAUGGUCAUGCGUCGCAUUAGCUAGUUGGCGGGGUAACGGCCCACCAAGGCGACGAUGCGUAGGGGUUCUGAGAGGAAGGUCCCCCACACUGAUACUGAGACACGGACCAGACUCCUACGGAAGGCAGCAG
rnacentral:rRNA from 1 species